UCAGUUGGUAGAGCACGACCUUGCCAAGGUCGGGGUCGCGAGUUCGAGUCUCGUUUCCCGCUCCA
rnacentral:tRNA from 1 species